AGCAUGCAAGUCGAACGGUAGGGUAGUGCUUGCACUACUUGAGAGUGGCGAACGGGUGAGUAACACGUAGGUGAUCUACCUUUAUGUAGGGGAUAGCCUGUGGAAACACAGGGUAAUACCCGAUGUGACUGAUAUCUUGCGGGGUAUUAGUGAAAGGUGUUGAGACACCGCAUAAGGGUGAGCCUGCGUCUGAUUAGUUAGUUGGUGGGGUAAAGGCCUACCAAGGCGACGAUCAGUAGCCGGCCUGAGAGGGUGACCGGCCACACUGGGACUGAGACACGGCCCAGACUCCUACGGGAGGCAGCAGCUAAGAAUCUUCCGCAAUGGGGGAAACCCUGACGGAGCGACGCCGCGUGAACGAAGAAGGCCGUGAGGUUGUAAAGUUCUUUUCUCGGAGAAGAAUAAGGUAGCGAGGGAAUGCGCUACUGAUGACAUUACCCGAGGAAUAAGCCCCGGCUAAUUACGUGCCAGCAGCCGCGGUAACACGUAAGGGGCGAGCGUUGUUCGGAUUUAUUGGGCGUAAAGGGCGUGUAGGCGGUUUUGUAAGCCUGGUGUGAAAGGCUCCGGCUUAACUGGAGUUUGCGCUGGGAACUGCAAGACUAGAGUUCAGGAGGGGAAGCUGGAAUUCCUGGUGUAGGGGUGAAAUCUGUAGAUAUCAGGAAGAACACCGGUGGCGAAGGCGAGCUUCUGGCCAUGAACUGACGCUGAGGCGCGAAAGCGUGGGGAGCGAACAGGAUUAGAUACCCUGGUAGUCCACGCUGUAAACGAUGUGCACUAGGUGUAGGGCUGUAUGAAGCUCUGUGCCGAAGCGAACGCGAUAAGUGCACCGCCUGGGGAGUAUGCUCGCAAGGGUGAAACUCAAAGGAAUUGACGGGGGCCCGCACAAGCGGGGGAGCAUGUGGUUUAAUUCAAUGAUACCCGAAGGAACCUUACCCGGGGUUUGACAUAUUAGCGGACUGUGG
rnacentral:rRNA from 1 species